CAGCAGCCGCGGUAAUACGAAGGGUGCAAGCGUUACUCGGAAUUACUGGGCGUAAAGCGUGUGUAGGUGGUUGUUUAAGUCUGUCGUGAAAGCCCUGGGCUCAACCUGGGAAUUGCGAUGGAUACUGGGCGACUAGAGUGCGGUAGAGGAUAGUGGAAUUUCCGGUGUAGCAGUGAAAUGCGUAGAGAUCGGAAGGAACAUCUGUGGCGAAGGCGACUAUCUGGGCCAACACUGACACUGAGACACGAAAGCGUGGGGAGCAAACAGGAUUAGAUACCCCUGUAGUCCCUGUCUCUUAUAA
rnacentral:rRNA from 1 species